GUAGAAAAGGUGGUGAUUCGCAUUGCAAGUCGUGUAGCUAAAGUUUCAUUCGACGCUUAAAUACGGGAAAUUAAUUAUAUCCAUAUAGUUACGUUGGUCCUAUUCGAAGCCAGGCUAAUUAUUUCUACUACUCUACUCCACGUUGGUUGCCUUCUGCAACAGAUCAAAGCAUCGAUCGUAUACUCGCAGUAAUUCAGCAUAAAGAUAGUGAUCAAGCAAUCAGGCG